UGAGGAAUAUUGGGCAAUGCCCGCAAGGGUGACCCAGCAACGCCGCGUGGAGGAUGAAGGCCGUAAGGUUGUAAACUCCUGUUAGAGGGGAAGAAUAAUUCCGAUCGACUCGGAACUUGACUGUACCCUCAGAGAAAGCCCCGGCUAACUACGUGCCAGCAGCCGCGGUAAUACGUAGGGGACAAGCGUUGUCCGGAUUUACUGGGUGUAAAGGGCGCGCAGGUGGGUUCGCAAGUCAGAGGUGAAAUCUCACGGCUUAACCGUGAAAGUGCCUUUGAUACUGUGAAUCUUGAGUUCGGAAGAGAGAGACGGAAUUCCAGGUGUAGUGGUGAAAUACGUAGAUAUCUGGAAGAACACCAGUUGCGAAGGCGGUCUCUUGGUCCGAUACUGACACUCAGGCGCGAAAGCGUGGGUAGCAAACAGGAUUAGAUACCCUGGUAGUCCACGCUGUAAACGAUGAAUACUAGGUGUUGGUGCCUUAGGCAUCAGUGCCGCAGCUAACGCAUUAAGUAUUCCACCUGGGGAGUACGAUCGCAAGGUUG
rnacentral:rRNA from 1 species